CGCUUUUGUAUAAAUAUCUAACAAUGUUCAUCUACACAGUGUCCGCAGGCAUAUAAACCCAAAUAAACAUCAAUGUUCAUCUAAAUUGUAAUGCUGAUGCAGAAAAAGCCUGAUUUAUAAUUCACAGCCGAGAACCGUUUUUAGAAAAGCUUUAGAUCACUUAUAUUUUAACAAAACGCUCUACAAGUUUUUAUGAAAAAAAAUUUGUAAAUACCCUGUAUAUUCGAUCCAAUUUGUAAUUCAAGUUGCAUAUCUGUAAGUGAACCAUUUUGACACAUCACAUCACAGUGAUGUGAAAUUGGAUGUGAAUAAAUAGAAAAGUGUGGUUAUGUACAAUCAGUUAUGAAUUCAAACUAAUUUUAUAACAAUUUGAACACUAAAUAGAAAUAAAAUGUUUCCGAUUUUGGUAAACUCUGUUAUUACGCUUUCUAAAAGGAUACCCUCCUUCACAAAAGCCUCCUUUUCUCAGCUUAGUACACCAAUUGCAUCAAGUAUAAUACAAAGUACAUUUUUAAAACCAGUAUCUUUAAAUGUAGUUCCUUCGUGUGGCUUUAAAAUAGUUGGAAGAGUGAAAAGAAGGUGCAAAGAUUGUUUCAUGGUCAUGAGGGAACAAAGAAUGUACAACCUUUGUAAAACACAUCCGAGACACAAACAGAUGUCGAUGGCCAAAGAUCCCAAGAAUACAUGGAUUCUUACCCAUGCAACACAGUCCAAAGUUAGACCAUGGUAAAAUAAUUAAGUGUAAGAAGUGUUAGUGAUAUAUUUUAAUUUAAACAGAAUAUUAUAAGUACCUUUGUAUUGUAUGUAUCUUCUAAUGAGAAUAACAGGCUUUAAGUCCCUAA